rnacentral:rRNA from 1 species
UACGUAGGGUGCAAGCGUUAAUCGGAAUUACUGGGCGUAAAGCGUGCGCAGGCGGCUUCCUAAGUCAGAUGUGAAAUCCCCGGGCUUAACCUGGGAACUGCGUUUGAAACUGGGGGGCUAGAGUGCGGCAGAGGGGGGUGGAAUUCCACGUGUAGCAGUGAAAUGCGUAGAUAUGUGGAGGAACACCGAUGGCGAAGGCAGCCCCCUGGGCCUGCACUGACGCUCAUGCACGAAAGCGUGGGGAGCAAACAGG